rnacentral:rRNA from 1 species
UACAGAGGGGGCAAGCGUUGUCCGGAGUUACUGGGCGUAAAGGGCAUGCAGGCGGUCGGACGCGUUUCGGGUGACAGCGGGUGGCUUAACUACCCGAGUGGUCGAAAGACGGUUUGACUUGAGGACGCGAGAGGGACACGGAAUUCCGGGUGGAGUGGUGAAAUGCGUAGAGAUCCGGAGGAACACCGAAGGCGAAGGCAGUGUCCUGGCGCGUAACUGACGCUGAGGUGCGAAAAGCCAGGGGGAGCGAACGGG